GAAUUUUGCGCAAUGGGCGAAAGCCUGACGCAGCAACGCCGCGUGGGGGAUGAAGGCCUUCGGGUUGUAAACCCCUUUUAGGAGGGAAGAAAUUGACGGUACCUCCAAAAGAGGCACCGGCCACCUACGUGCCAGCAGCCGCGGUAAUACGUAGGGUGGGAGCGUUAUCCGGAAUCCUUGGGCGUAAAGAGCUCGUAGGCGGUUCAGCAAGUCGGCUGUGAAAGUCUGAGGCUCAACCUCAGAAUUGCAGUCGAUACUGCUGUGACUCGAGUCCGGUAGAGGAGAACGGAAUUCCCGGUGUAGCGGUGAAAUGCGCAGAUAUCGGGAGGAACACCAGUAGCGAAGGCGGUUCUCUGGGCCGGCACUGACGCUGAGGAGCGAAAGCGUGGGGAGCAAACAGG
rnacentral:rRNA from 1 species